rnacentral:rRNA from 1 species
CAUGUCUUUUUGAUUAUAAUUUAAGGUUUAAUCUGCUCAAUGAGGAUUUAAAUUGCCGCGGUAUAUUGACCGUGCAAAGGUAGCAUAAUAAUUAGUUUUUUUAUUGAAAGCUGGAAUGAAUGAUUGGACGAGAGAAUGACUGUCUCUGAUUAAUUUUUUUUUGAAAUUAACAUUUAAGUAAAAAGGCUUAAAUAUGUAUUAAAGACGAGAAGACCCUAUAGAGUUUUAUAUUUGCUUUUCAUAAAUUUUUUAGAAUUUAUUAAUUUAUAAUUUGUUUAGUAUUUAGUUGGGGUGAUUAGAAGAUUAAUUAAACUCUUUUUAAAAAAAUCAAUGAUUAUUGAUUCGUUAAUCUGACUUUGUCAAAUUUAAUAAAAAUUACCUUAGGGAUAACAGCGUAAUUUCUUUUUAGAGUUCUUAUUAAAAGAGAAGUUUGCGACCUCGAUGUUGGAUUAAAAUUUAUUUUUGGUGCAGAAGCUUUGAUAUUAAGUCUGUUCGACUUUUGAAAUUUUACAUGAUCUGAGU